CUUCUAGGCAGCAUACAAUUGGAUCAUGUUUUUAAUCUAUUCUAUCAAUCUCUGUCUUUUAAGGGGAGAGUUUAAUUCAUUUACAUUUAACAUGAUUGCUAAAAAGGA